rnacentral:rRNA from 1 species
UGCAGUGCGCAGUCUACCUGCAGUCGAACGGGCCUGUCCCUGGGUCUUUUGGUUGGGGGUGGGUUAGUGGCGAACGGGUGAGUUACACAUGAGUAACCUCGCCCCUCACUUCUGGAUAACCGCUUGAAAGGGUGGCUAAUACGGGGUGUUCUGGCUGUGCCGCAUGGUGUGGUUGGGAAAGAUUCACUAUUUGUUUGGUGUUUGGUGGGGGAUGGGCUCGCGGCCUAUCAGCUUGUUGGUGGGGUGAUGGCCUGCCAAGGCUUUGACGGGUAGCCGGCCUGAGAGGGUGGGCGGUCACACUGGGACUGAGACACGGCCCAGACUCCUGCGGGAGGCAGCAGUGGGGGAUAUUGCACAAUGGGCGGAAGCCUGAUGCAGCGACGUCGCGUGAGGGAUGGAGGCCUUCGGGUUGUGAACCUCUUUCGCCGGUGAAGAAGGUCCUGCUUUUUGGGUGGGGUUGACGGUAGCCGGGUUAUGAAGCGCCGGCUAACUACGUGCCAGCAGCCGCGGUAAUACGUAGGGCGCGAGCGUUGUCCGGAAUUAUUGGGCGUAAAGGGCUUGUAGGCGGCUGGUCGCGUCUGUCGUGAAAUCCUCUGGCUCAGCUGGGGGCGUGCGGUGGGUACGGGCUGGCUUGAGUGCGGUAGGGGAGGCUGGAACUCCUGGUGUGGCGGUGGAAUGCGCAGAUAUCAGGAGGAACACCGGUGGCGAAGGCGGGUCUCUGGGCCGUUACUGACGCUGAGGAGCGAAAGCGUGGGGAGCGAACAGGAUUAGAUACCCUGGUAGUCCAUGCUGUAAACGUUGGGCACUAGGUGUGGGGGGUCUUUCCGGGCCGUCCGCGCCGUAGCUAACGCAUUAAGUGCCCCGCCUGGGGAGUACGGCCGCAAGGCUAAAACUCAAGGGAUUUGACGGGGGCCCGCACAAGCGGCGGAGCAUACG